CUUUACAAUACACCAUAAAACCUCUACUGUUUUAAUUAGGAAACAUCGGUGAACACAAAUGAGUGUUUCAAAACAGUAAAAUGUAUCACAAUGAUGAUAUCAUCAAUGAAAGUCCAGUUUUUGUGUGAAAAAUUAAAAAAACAAAUAGAAAUGCUAACUUUGGCCAGGGUUUGUGACUAAGUGGCUACUAAAAAAGACUGGACAUACUCCAUUUUGAAUACUCUGGGUUGCCUACAUUUGCACAUGGUAUGCCAUGACAGGAGUAAUUCCCAUUACCAUAUGGUCUCAUACGCUACAUAACCAAUCUGGCAAAUUUCAAUGUGUAGAUGGACAAGCCUUAUAUUUGAUCCUUUAACUUUUCAAAACACCAUAAAACGUGGACAUUGGGAUACUGUUGUACUCGUGAGACAUCACUAAAGACAAAUAUGAAUGUUUUAGUAAAAGGUAUAAUGCUGAUUAUAUCAUCGGUGAAAAAAAUCAAUAUGAAUGCUAACCUUUGGCCAGUGUUUGUGACUAGGUGGCUUCUAAAAAAAGAGUGGACUUAACCCAUUUUGAUUACCUUAGGUUGUCUGCUUUUGAAAAUGGUACUCCAUGAUGGGGUUAAUUGUCAUUCCUGGGCAGCCAUAUGGUCUCAAAGGUAACAUAGGCCCAGCAAACCAAUCUGGCAUAUUUUGAUGUGCAUAAACUGAAAAGGGGACUUUUUUUCUAGUUUUUUGCAAAAUUGGAAGUGCUGCAAACUGUUUUUGUUUGCCUUUUGGAUAAACAGCAAAAAACAAAUGUGAGGAAGACUGAACUUGAGGGAGACAUGUCUCUUUUUAGCCUAUAUAACUAUAAAUGAGAUUGCGAAGGAAAUAUGUGCACCAAUGGUUCUGUCAGAAAAUACCAAUGGAACAAAUGUUUAUUUUUAACCUCAGAAAUAAGCAACACAUAAAAAAAAAAAUAGAAAGGUUAAUAAGAACUCCAUAUCAUAAAUCAAUAUCAAAAGAAGACUCCAGCUUAUUUUCCCAUUGAUCAUGUAAGACAAUUUGGCUAAGGAAGUUGGCAGAAUCAAAAACUGAUAAUAAGUACGUAUGAUGUUUUGCUUUAGCGCACAAGAAAAUUAUCUGGGGGGAGGGAACCCCUUGAGUUAGAAGAAUACUAUCUGUUCCAAGGUAAUUUAUAAACUUUAAACAUUGAAAGUACCCCUUAGCAGGUAUUCAUUAUUGCUCCAAGAGCCGUUAAAAAAAACUUGAUGCCAAACCAUGGAAUAAAUCUCUCACUUCACGUGUCCCCUGUUUGCUUCAUUCUCAAAUAGUUAAUGACUCAAUGCCCAAUGUCAAGGCCACCACUGGAGUUGCUCUUGAAACCAUUACAAAAUCUUCAUGAGUUGUAUCCAGCUUUCUCUAAGCCAAAUGCACAUGGAGUGAAAUGUGACUACUCUCUAGGUGCAAUUUAGGUGGAGACUUCAACCAAAGAUAAUAACACAACCUGCCUGGGAAUACCAAAAUAUCCUCAAUAUCUUACCAGCAACAACAGUGAUCCUAUGAAUGCAUUUACUAAAACCGAGGCACUAUAGUAACUAACAAGAUUUGGAAUUCCCAAAUCACCUUUAUUGGGAUCUACUCUUUUUUUUAGUAAUUUGAUUGGUCUAGCUGUCCUACUAAAAGAUGAAUUUUCUCCUAACCUUCAAGAGGAUCUUUUUUGUGUACUAUAUACUUUCCUUUCUGAUAUUUAAUUCACCAUCAGUUAUAGUUGGCUAUAUAUAUGUAGGCCUUUAGACUGCUAUGAUAUUCACCGAUGUGCUGCUAGUUUUCUUUCAUAUCAAUGACUCUUUAUAUGAG